GCGCGAUUAGCUCAGCGGGCGAGCGCUUCCCUGACACGGAAGAGGUCACUGGUUCACUCCCAGUAUCGCGCA
rnacentral:tRNA from 1 species